rnacentral:tRNA from 1 species
CGGGGUGUGGCUCAGUUUGGCUAGAGCACCUGCUUUGGGAGCAGGGGGUCGCAGGUUCGAAUCCUGUCACCCCGACUA